UGGAAAAGCAGCUUGUUUCAUAAUUUUUGGUGUUUUUGAAUCUUUAUACCCUGGAAGCAGUCAAAAUAUAUGUGAACAACCAUCCAAACCAGACGGUGUACCAAUAUGUUGCACAUUUUACUUCUAUAACGGAACUGAUUGUAUUGAAUGUCCACUAGGAUACUACGGUGUGGAAUGCAAUAUCCCCUGCGUUUACCCAUCAUACGGUCCAAGAUGUAAUCCUAUUUGUAACUGUAGUGAAAAUGAUUGUGAUAAUGUACACGGAUGUUUGUUAACGAGUGAGUUUCUUUUUUCUGAACUUCAAAAUGCUUUGCUAUUACCUUCCAUCUUUCCCCUGCACAAAACAAAUUUAAGUCUAAUUCAAACUUUCUAAACAAAAAAAAUAUUUACCAAGUAAGCCAAAAUGUUUUACCAUUGGUGCAAUCACAAGCACAACAGAGAAAGCGGUGAGAGUUGUGACCAAUUAACUCAACUUUCAUAUUAUGAACGCAAAGCCAUGACGAAUAGACGAAAAAAAUGACAAAAUUUAAGAUUU